rnacentral:rRNA from 1 species
UACAGAGGGGGCGAGCGUUGUUCGGAAUUACUGGGCGUCAAGGGCGCGUAGGCUGCCUGCUAAGUCGGACGUGAAAUCCCUCGGCUCAACCGGGGAACUGCGUCCGAUACUGGCGGGCUUGAAUCCGGGAGAGGAAUGCGGAAUUCCAGGUGUAGCGGUGAAAUGCGUAGAUAUCUGGAGGAACACCGGUGGCGAAGGCGGCAUUCUGGACCGGCAUUGACGCUGAUGCGCGAAAGCGUGGGGAGCAAACGGG